CAGACUACAAUCAAGAUGGCUGCCAGAGCCCUCUGAGCCCAUUCCCAGCAUGCUUGGAGUCAGCGGUGGUUAGGACAGAAGGAACUAGAAAACUCGGCUGGUACCAACAGGGAGGCUUUGCAUGAGUGAUCUGGACAAGCAGGCCACUGGCCCAAUGACAAGUUGCUGUGUGCUUCUGGGGGAAUGCGCAGAGACACGCCAGCAUUAUCAGAUGUACACGGCCACAGAUGAACACAGUUCCCAAAGUGGCGAUGCUGUGACAAUGAACUUCUAAAGGGCAAACUUCACAAUUCAGAGGAAAAUGGCGAGCAGCAGGCUGCCUGAAGGGUUAAAAUGUUUGAUGACCAAAUCCAAGGUGUGGAGGAGGGCAGAUGUGUGGCAGCUGCCAUCAGGUCAUGGGGACACUACAGUCAGCUCUCUCCCAUCUCUCUCAAGGAACCAAAUGGCCAAAAGCCAAGUCUAGUCAAUGCAGGACUCUGAUGGCGACACUGCAUUUCGGAGCUGGAAGUACUGUUACCUGGAAACUCAGUGCCGCCUUCCACUUUCCGGAACAGGUGGUUAUGUAUGUGAAUCCUUCCAGCUUCAGGAAGACAUUGAGUAUGUCUGUAGCC